rnacentral:sRNA from 1 species
UCCUCUCUGCUUGACGGCUGUGCAGGCAUG